GAUGAAGAACGCAGCGAAAUGCGAUAAGUAAUGUGAAUUGCAGAAUUCAGUGAAUCAUCGAAUCUUUGAACGCACAUUGCGCCCCUUGGUAUUCCGAGGGGCAUGCCUGUUCGAGCGUCAUUAUAACCCCUCAAGCUCAGCUUGGUGUUGGGGCCUGCCGCACGGGCAGCCCUUAAAAUCAGUGGCGGUGCCAUCUGGCUCUAAGUGUAGUAAUUCUUCUCGCUAUAGAGUCCCGGUGGAUGCUUGCCAUUAACCCCCAAUUUUCUAUGGUUGACCUCGGAUCAGGUAGGGAUACCCGCUGAACUUAAGCAUAUCAAUAAGCGGAGGA
rnacentral:misc_RNA from 1 species